AAAAGUGUGGGAUUUCAAGGGAUUAAGCUAAUAAAGGUAAAAUUUUGUGAUUUUAUCUUGUGAUUUACACUACCCAUGCUUUCUUUUUCAUUUUCCAUGCUUAGAACUCAAGUUUGCAUGAUGAACCCAUGCUGGCCGAAUUUGAGAGGAGAGGUUUUAAGCAUUGAUUUUGCUAGAUUUCAAGCUAAUUAAGUGUUUUUGGUUGUUUGGUAAUGGAAAGUAUGAAAAUCUAGCAAGGAAUCACUUUGUUCUUCAC
rnacentral:lncRNA from 1 species